rnacentral:rRNA from 1 species
UACGAGAGGCCCAAACGUUGUUCGGAAUUACUGGGCUUAAAGAGUUCGUAGGCGGCGCAGAAAGUAGGGUGUGAAAGCCCUCGGCUCAACCGAGGAAUUGCGCUCUAAACUACUGUGCUUGAGGAAGCUAGAGGUGAGCGGAACUGAUGGUGGAGCGGUGAAAUGCGUUGAUAUCAUCAGGAACACCGGAGGCGAAGGCGGCUCACUGGGGCUUUUCUGACGCUGAGGAACGAAAGCCAGGGGAGCGAACGGG